rnacentral:rRNA from 1 species
UACGGAGGGGGCUAGCGUUGUUCGGAAUUACUGGGCGUAAAGCGCACGUAGGCGGCUUUGUAAGUUAGAGGUGAAAGCCCGGGGCUCAACUCCGGAAUUGCCUUUAAGACUGCAUCGCUAGAAUUGUGGAGAGGUAAGUGGAAUUCCGAGUGUAGAGGUGAAAUUCGUAGAUAUUACGGAAGAACACCAGUGGCGAAGGCGACUUACUGGACACAUAUUGACGCUGAGGUGCGAAAGCGUGGGGAGCAAACAGG